UGGGGAAUAUUGCACAAUGGACGGAAGUCUGAUGCAGCAACGCCGCGUGCGGGAUGACGGCCUUCGGGUUGUAAACCGCUUUUUCUCAUGACGAAGUUUUUUGACGGUAGUGGGGGAAGAAGCACCGGCUAACUACGUGCCAGCAGCCGCGGUGAUACGUAGGGUGCGAGCGUUGUCCGGAAUUAUUGGGCGUAAAGAGCUUGUAGGCGGUUUGUCGCGUCGAUAGUGCAAACUCAGUGCUUAACGCUGAGCCUGCUGUUGAUACGGGCAGACUAGAGGAAGGUAGGGGAGAAUGGAAUUCCCGGUGGAGCGGUGGAAUGCGCAGAUAUCGGGAGGAACACCGGUGGCGAAGGCGGUUCUCUGGGCCUUUCCUGACGCUGAGAAGCGAAAGCGUGGUGAGCGAACAGG
rnacentral:rRNA from 1 species